rnacentral:rRNA from 1 species
UGGGGAAUUUUGGACAAUGGGCGAAAGCCUGAUCCAGCAAUGCCGCGUGCGUGAAGAAGGCCUUCGGGUUGUAAAGCACUUUUGUUCGGAAAGAAAUGGCCCUGGUUAAUACCUGGGGUCGAUGACGGUAUCGGAAGAAUAAGGACCGGCUAACCAUGUGCUAGCAGCCGCGGUAAUACGUAGGGUCCAAGCGUUAAUCGGAAUUGCUGGGCGUAAAGUGUGCGCAGGCGGUUGUGCAAGACCGAUGUGAAAUCCCCGGGCUUAACUUGGGAAUUGCAUUGAUGACUGCACGGCUAGAGUGUGUCAGAGGGGGGUGGAAUUCCACGUGUAGCAGUGAAAUGCGUAGAGAUGUGGAGGAAUACCGAUGGCGAAGGCAGCCCCCUGGGAUAACACUGACGCUCAUGCACGAAAGCGUGGGGAGCAAACAGG